AUACGGAGGAUGCGAGCGUUAUCCGGAUUCAUUGGGUUUAAAGGGUGCGUAGGCUGUUUUUCAAGUCAGAGGUGAAAGCCCGGGGCUUAACUCCGGAACUGCCUUUGAUACUGGGAGGCUUGAAUGCUGUUGCCGUGGGAGGAAUGAGUAGUGUAGCGGUGAAAUGCAUAGAUAUGACGAAGAACACCGAUUGCGUAGGCAGCUGACCAGACCGCAAAUGACGCUCAUGCACGAAAGUGCGGGGAUCGAACAGGAUUAGAUACCCUGGUAGUCCGCACAGUAAACGAUGAAUACUUGUUUUCGGCGAUAUAAUGUCGGAGGCAAAGCGAAAGCGAUAAGUAUUCCACCUGGGGAGUACGCCGGCAACGGUGAAACUCAAAUGAAUUGACGGGG
rnacentral:rRNA from 1 species